UGCGAGCAGGCGCGUGUGACGUCGGGAGGCGCCGCGGCUCCUCGGCCGCCCCACUCGGUGGUCCCCUGUCUGGAUCCAAACUGCUGACUGGCUGACCCGAGUGGUCACAUUUGCCCUCUGGGGCUUUUGAAAACCUUAAAUCAAAAUUGCUUUUGAAUCUGACAACUCCUGAGGCUACUUUCGCGGCCUCGGGGCUGUUUCAUAUAAGGACGCGAGUUUUCCUGAUCAGGUCUGUCGGCCACGUUACGAUUUCCAAUUUGCGAUCCAUCAGUUACUUCCAUUGGGUCUUCAGCCCCCAGGGACUGUGGAUCCUAGACCCCGCGGAGAAGCCCGUGGACUGGAGCUGUGUCAGCUCUGAUGCUUACUUGUUACAGCAGAAGCUUCAACAACCGUGCAUUAAAAAGCUAUGAAAAGAUGAAGAGAAUAUGCCUUCAAAUGGGAAGGAAUACUUAACUGUGAAUAAGACCUAGUUCAACAUGGAACUUCCUGGUGGCCAAGUCAGAAGAGAAGCACAGAACAAAAACGGAGGCACAGAGAGGUCAAUUGAUUGGUCUAAUGACACAGAUCUAGCAAGUGGUGGAACCAGGACUGAAUCCAGGUAACUUGCUCCUGAUGUUUGUCCAUUGGUGCUCUCAUACUUUUUUCCCUCUCUCUUCCUGUUAGAAUGUGCUUCCAGGAGAGGGUUUAUCAAUUGUGUUGAUCUUUUCAAAAAGCAAACGAGAAUCUGGAAGACUACUCUGCCAAGACAUCUCAAAACCUUAUUGAUUGAUACAGCUGAGCCCUGAUCGUUGCGGUAGGUGAGCACUGAUUGGGUUGGUUCAGGUGUGUGUCCGGAAUUGGUGGGUUCUUGGUCUCACUGACUUCAAGAAUGAAGCCGCGGACCCUUGCGGAACUGUGAAGACUAGAGUGACCUUGGAGAUCUCAUCUGGAAGAUGGUAGAACUGCUAUCAGCCUGGCUUCCCAAAUGACCUCCUGGAUCACAGCUACCCAUGGCCUGAAAUGUUGACCUUGGAGUUGUUGCAUAGGAAAGAAAUAAACUUCUUUGUU
rnacentral:lncRNA from 1 species